GACGAAGGAUGCAAGCGUUAUCCGGAUUCAUUGGGUUUAAAGGGAGCGUAGGCGGCCUUAUAAGUCAGUGGUGAAAUCUCUCGGCUUAACCGAGAAAUUGCCAUUGAUACUGUAGGGCUUGAGUACAGUUGCCGUUGGCGGAAUAUGACAUGUAGUGGUGAAAUACAUAGAGAUGUCAUAGAACACCGAUUGCGAAGGCAGCUAACGAAGCUGUAACUGACGCUGAGGCGCGAAAGCGUGGGGAGCAAACAGG
rnacentral:rRNA from 1 species